rnacentral:rRNA from 1 species
AUGACCAAGGCGUUCUACACAGCUCUAUACACUUCUGAAGGUACAGAGAAUAUGCAAGAGGUUAUCAAUGCAGUCCCGCGCAAAGUGACACGCCAAAUGAAUGAUGUCCUGAACACUCCCUACAAAGUCGAGGAAGUAAAAACUGCGUUGUUUCAAAUGUCACCUCAGAAGGCCCCCGGACCGGAUGGUUUUCCUGCACAAUUUUUUCAGAAACAUUGGGAUAUUUGUUCUGAGGAGGUGACUAAAGUUGUCCUUAGAAUUGUGGAAGGCGUGGAAAGUGCCCGUGAGAUCAAUAACACGAUUUUGGUGUUAAUACCAAAGGUAAAAAAUCCCACGCUUCUUACACAGUUCCGUCCCAUCAGCUUAUGCAAUGUUUUGUACAAAAUAGCAUCCAAAGUUAUUGCUAAUCGCUUGAAGAGUGUGCUGCCAGACAUAAUCUCUAAGGAGCAAUCAGCCUUUGUACCAGGCCGUCUUAUUACUGAUAACAUAAUUGCUGCAUAUGAGUGUUUGCAUUUUAUGAAGCGGAAUAAGGCACAAAAAAACAGGCAUUGUGCACUAAAGCUUGACAUGAUGAAGGCCUAUGACAGGGUGGAAUGGAGUUAUCUGAAGGAAAUCAUGUUAAAGCUGGGGUUCACGAGCAGAUGGGUGAAUAUUGUC